AAACGACUCUCGGCAACGGAUAUCUCGGCUCUUGCAUCGAUGAAGAACGUAGCGAAAUGCGAUACUUGGUGUGAAUUGCAGAAUCCCGUGAACCAUCGAGUCUUUGAACGCAAGUUGCGCCCGAGUCCAUAGGUCGAGGGCACGUCUGCCUGGGCGUCACACAC
rnacentral:rRNA from 1 species